rnacentral:lncRNA from 1 species
AUGUCAUCGCAACCCCUCCUGGUGUGCAGGCCGCCCGGGAUGGACAGGGCCGCACAGGCAGGCCCCGCAGAGCAGCGUGGGGACAGCGCGCUGCAGGGGUGGACGUGCAGGCUCAGCGCAGGGGCGGGGUGGCGCCUUCAGGUUGCUGGGAAAGCUCAAUGGGCUCCAAGGACGAGAGUGUGGGAGGUUCCGCCUGGGCGAGUGGGUGCUGGGGGAUGGCUGCCACCCACCAAGCUCGGGGCGGCACAGAACAGCCUCCUGCUUUCCCGACCCCGCCCGGGCCUGCAUCCCAUUUUCUGCCUCAAGGGUCCUGCGUCCUUCCUCCAGGCCCUCAGAGGCCCUUCCCUCCCUGAUCCCAGAGCUCAGAGACCUGCGCUCCCAGCCGCCGGGAGGCCCAGGCAGGACUUGCGUCUCCUGCAAGCAAGGGAGGGGGCCGUCCGUCAGGCCGUGACCUGCGGGGACUUGCAUCCCAGCCUCCUGGCGCCAUGGUGCAUGGGCCCUCAGGCCUGUGGCUCCCUGCCCCCAGUGCAGCCCCGACACCAGCUGAGUGUCUUUUGUGACUCAGUUCAACUCCGACAGCAGCCAGUUGGCCCAGCCCCGCACGUGAGGGCUGCACCCUACGAGACCGUCCCCACUUCAGAUGCCCCGUCACACAUUCCCAGGUGACACACAAGUGCUGCUGCCCCAGCUACCAAUUCAGAGCUCCCUGGUCAGGACUUAGUCAUUUGCUGGUCAGGAUUUAGUCAUUCGCAGGCCCCAGGCCGGCUCGUUGAAUAAUAAGUGUGUAGAGGAACUGCCAGCGGAAGAGCCGGCAGGGUGGGGUCUGCAGGGCGCGGGGGGUGCCCCCCUCCCAGCACAGGGGUGGGGGUCUCCCAAACCCAAGCCUCUGAGAUGGUUGCGGGGAACUGGUCAUGAAGCCAGUGUCAGCGCCCCCAAACCCCCAUCUCCCAGAGAGUGGGGCCGAGGAUGAAAGUUUCAGCUCCCAGGCACAGCCUGGUCCCCCUGGGACCAGCCCGACCCGAGAGCCACGCAGAGUCACCUCGUUGGAACAAGACACCGCCAGCCCCCAGGAAAUUCCAAGGGAUUACCACGCGCAGUGUCAGGAACCAGGCCGAGGCCACUACCUGUGGUUUGUUUCUCAGGCCCUCGAGCCCGGGGUGAGCGUCAUGCAACCAGUCACAGGAUGUAAGAGAAAAGGGCUGAGCUUCCCUGUGGAAGAGGGAAUUCUGCCUCAGACGUCAGCUGGCCCCGUGUCUGCCUGCUGCCUGUGGCCCCGCAGACUUCAGACUUGCCACCCGCCGAGAUAACCCGGGCACGCGCGAGCGCAGCCCACUCGGGAUCCUUCUCAGGAGGUUCCUGACCAGUGGGACAGUGAUGCUGGGGGCGGGGCACCCCCUGCUGGGAUGUGGGCGGAGCCCAGGGGCACCCCAGCACACCCCUCUGUGCUGCCCCCAACCCCUGGGGUCCUUCUCUGUCUGCAAUAAGGCUCGGCGUUGGGGUGGCCAGGGAGGGGCGAAGGGGGAGGGGUGCCAGAUGAAGUACAGGUCCGCGGUUAAAUGCGAAUUUCAGAUUAAACAGUGAAUGAGGCAGAUUUAUACGAAAAUUCUUCACCUUGACCAAAAAUUCCAAGUUCAUCUUGCUUUCACUUGGAGUUUUGUUUUUUUUUUUUUUUUUUUUUUUUU